rnacentral:rRNA from 1 species
UGAGGAAUAUUGCGCAAUGGGGGCAACCCUGACGCAGCAACGCCGCGUGAGUGAGGAAGGUUUUCGGACCGUAAAGCUCUGUCGAGCGGGAAGAAAUGCAUGGUGGCUAAUAUCCAUCAUGCUUGACGGUACCGCUAAAGGAAGCACCGGCUAACUCCGUGCCAGCAGCCGCGGUAAUACGGGGGGUGCGAGCGUUGUUCGGAGUUAUUGGGCGUAAAGAGCGUGUAGGCGGCCGAAUAAGUCAGAUGUGAAAUCCCUGGGCUUAACCCAGGACGUGCAUUUGAAACUAUUCGGCUAGAGUAGGGGAGAGGAAAGUGGAAUUCCUGGUGUAGAGGUGAAAUUCGUAGAUAUCAGGAGGAACACCGGUGGCGAAGGCGACUUUCUGGCCCUAUACUGACGCUGAGACGCGAGAGCGUGGGUAGCAAACA